UUCAGAAAGAUGAAGAAAAUUCGAUACUUGUUAGCCAUGUGAUACGUGUAACAUUCGAGAAAUUCUUUGCAUCGCAUAACAAACAGUUACUUUCACUUUAAGCGAAUUCUAUCACGCAUCGAGCAUCGUGUAAUUCUUCCCGUAUCGUUUUAGUUUAUGCUUCUGACUGUUAUACAUUCUUUCGUACAGUUUCGUAUAAUCAAGACGAGCAACACUCGAUAAAUAAUGAUCAAACAAGAAACAAGCUUCCAACAUUAAUAAUAACAAAGCGUUCCAUUCGAGUGCGCUGUUGUAUCGGAUUAUGAUAUCGCGUAAAUCAACGAGUGGAUACUUUGGUUGAUUUAUAAUAACAACACACGAAUAUCAUGACGAUACGUGAAUUGAGCCAAGUUGUUCAAGAACAACCUACUUAUAGUUACAACCUUCUAUUUUUUUUAUUAUUAUUAUUUAAUUUGUAUUUUACAAUUUAUCCAGCUGGACAUUUGGCAAAUUUUUCUAAUUUUAUUGCUAAAUAAGAUGUGGAUGGCUACGGGAUGUCUUCGAGUUUGACUCUUUUAUUUCUUUAGUGAGGUCAGUGAGGUGUUUUCUUUUUAGUCUUCUUUCUAUGGGAGUUUUGCUCGCUUGGAUGUGUUGUUGUUCUUUCCUUGUAUUUUUUUGCGUACCUGGCGAUUUCUUCUUUGACCGUUGGUAUUUUUAAGUCUUUGUGUAUAUCCUCCUUUGUGUAUCUUCAAUUGUAGCGCCUCUAGUUUAUUUAUGUGGCUGAUUACUGCUGUCCCCCAUAGUGGUAUUCCCUACAUCCAAAUUGGUUUUAUUAUUGCUUUGUAGAUUUUUAGUUUAUUUUCUAUGCUGAGUUUAGAGUUUCGACUAAUUAGCCAGUACAUCUGUCUUCUUUUUAUCCGUAUUUUGUCUAUAAUUGAUUUAGUAUAUUGUUUCCAUGUAAAUUGUG